GUAGCUGGUCUGAGAGGAUGAYCAGCCACACUGGRACUGAGACACGGUCCAGACUCCUACGGGAGGCAGCAGUGGGGAAUAUUGGACAAUGGGGGCAACCCUGAUCCAGCAAUGCCGCGUGUGUGAAGAAGGCCUGAGGGUUGUAAAGCACUUUCAGUGGGGAGGAGGGUUGWUAGGUUAAGAGCUAAUUAAUUGGACGUUACCCACAGAAGAAGCACCGGCUAACUCCGUGCCAGCAGCCGCGGUAAUACGGAGGGUGCGAGCGUUAAUCGGAAUUACUGGGCGUAAAGGGUGCGUAGGUGGUUGAAUAAGUUAUCUGUGAAAUCCCUGGGCUUAACCUGGGCASGKCAGAUAAUACUGUUUGACUAGAGUAUGG
rnacentral:rRNA from 1 species